GCUCUCAGGGGAAAGGGACUGACCCAGGUCCUGCUCUGCAGGGCUCCCUGGCCCGGCGACCAUGCACCGAGGCACAGGAUGAAUGAAUGCCGCACAGCGAGGCACGGCUGAGGAAGGAGGGCGUGGGCCCAGCGUAAAGCAGUCACCCACGCUGACUGACGUGCGCGAGUCUCCACCAGCCGUCAGCAGCACAGUGGCGCCACCUAGCGACCCCGCCGGCACACCGGAGUGACACGCUACGGUGACGCCGGGACACUGCGCUCUCACUGCAUCUUCCGAAAGGCCUUGAUGGGAGCGGCUCUGAGAGCAGCAGGCUCUGGAGUGCGGAGAACCUGGGCAAACCCUGACCCCACUCCCUUCGGCGCGGGGCCUUGCAGGAGGCACCAGGACCCCGAGCCCCGUUCACGGCCGCAGUCCGCGGCGUCAGGGCUGCGCGGGCCCCAGCAGGUGCUCGCUCUCUUGGUGGCCUUUAUAUCCAGAAGCAAUGCGAACCCUCGGGGUCCCGACCUUGUCCUUCUGCCGUGUCCGGCUUCUCGGCUGAGCAGAGGGGAGCUGCUGAGGUGACCCCUCCGAUCCCUGCAGCUGAAACCAGCUCGUCCUGCCGGUGCCUCAGACUGCAGUGAGCGCGCAGGGCCCUGGCGGAGCUGGCCGUGUCCUCACAUUUGCCGUCCCACAGCGGGGACCGACAGGCGCCCACCUGUCAGCACCUCGGCCAGGGGCCCACCCGUAGCCCACCAGAGAGAUUCAAGAGGACAGUGCUGCAGUGAAACAUGAACAGGCUGGUACCAGAAAAGACCACCAGGGAGCCAUAGUGCCGACUCAGUAAGUAAAAACUCCAGAGGGCAGAAACCCCGCAGAGGACGCUGCUGAAAGCCUACGGGCGCAUCAGAAACUGAACCCCUGGGAAGCGGAGUCGGACAGACACAGGGCUGAUUCACUAUCCAAAGUGGGAACUCCAGAGCGGAUGGGGUAGAAGCAAUACUAAAAUUAGUUACAGUACAGAAGGAAAGGACUUUCCUGAGUCAAAGACCUUAAAUCUUCAAAUCAUAGCACUCAUGUUCAGAUUUUUGAAUUCCAAAAAAUGAAUGCAAAAUACUGUAAGAAGGCCAAACACUUACAGACAGAGAAAAAAGUUAUCUACAAAAGAAAGAGAAUCAGGCUGGUAGCACGGCCAUCUGGAAAGCAGUGCUAGAAGUAGUUUUCAGAGUCCCAAAGGAUGACCCAAGCAUUUACAGAGACUCACAAAUUUUCAUUUAUGUUGAGAAAAAUAAAGGUAUGUUCAGACAUACAAAGGUUCAGAAAUAACACCAGGGAAGCACCAUUUCCUGAAGAAGUUGUCUGAGGAAAUAUUCCAGCCAAACAAAAUCCAAAUACAUAACUCAAACAGGAAAAUAAGGGAGACAAGCAAUAGCCCAUAAUGAGCAAAGAAACCAGUAAAAGUUCAGUCAACUCUCACUACGGAUUAUGAGAUGAUGUAUUUAUUAAGAAAGAAAGUUUACUAAUUUGGACUAAAAUCCUAGAUUAUUUCUAGAACAUUUAAAAAUCUGUUAGAAAUAGAGACAUCAACAAAAUCAUAAUCAGAGAACUGUAAACUGUGCUCACAAUUUAGUAAGUCACAGAGGUAAUAUUACAGCUGGGUGUGGUGGUGCAUGCCUGUAAUCCCAGCACUCAGGAGGCUGAGGCAGGAGGAUUGCCAUGACUUUGGGCCAGCCUGGGCUACACAGGGAGUUCAAGGCCAGCCUGAAUUACAUAGCGAGACCCUGUCUCAAAAACCAAAUCAAUUUUAUAGAGCUUAUGACUCCCCUGUUAAAGCUUAAAAUAAGUAUUUUUGUUUUGGGUUUUGAUUCUUUUACUUAUCAUGAUUAUUAAAAUAAUUAGGUAGUGAGCUGCCAGAAGUCAUUAAAAUUAACAAAAGACGGUAGUAGUUAGCUACGAUUUACACAGUCGUUACUAUACACAGACCUGUUUAAUGAAUAGCUCUCCACAGCCCCAUGAUGCAGGCAUCAUUAUCUCCAUCUUCCAGACAGGGAUACUGAACCCCAGGGAGCUUACAUUACUUGACCAAGGUUAAAAGCAGCAUGUGAUGGUACAGAGAUUCAAACGCAGGCAGUCUGCCUCCAGAACCUGAGCUAUUUUGGUACAGAUUAAUGGGCAAGAAAUACUAAACGUCAAUUUAUUAGAGAAAAAAAAUUUACUAGAGAGGAGAGAAAUGGCCAAUAAACCCAAAACUUUUAUCUUAUGAUUUAAAAAAGGAAUAUUUAAAAAUAACAGACACAAAGAGUAACUCAUUGGUAGUGAGGGUACGAGGUCUAAAACCCUGCCUCUGUCAUAUAUAUUUUUUUUUGGUACCGGGGAUCAAACUCGGGUCCUUGUGCUUGCGCAGCAGGCAGCGAAACCACUGAGCUAAAUCCCUGGCCCCAUACACUCUUGGUAGAAUAAAAAAAGUAUAUCCUUGGGACUGAAUCCAGGGAGCACUAAGCUACAUCCCUAACCUUUCUUAUUUUUUAUUUUGAGGUGAGGUCUCUCUAAAUUGCCCAGGCUGUCCUUGAACUGCCCAGGUAAUCCUCCUGCCUCAACCUCCCCCAUCAAUACAUCUUAUGUAUUGAAACUAAAUAGCAUGUAUCAAUUUAUAAAGUUCACACAUUCUUUGACUCAGUAAUUCUAUUUCCAGGAACAUAUUCUGAGGAUGUAACUGGAUAAGAGUGUGAAGAUGUACAUAUACAAGGAUUUCUAAUGUAAGGUGAAAAUCUGGGCUAUGCAUAUUACAUGUAAAUAUAUUUUCUGUAUUCAUGUAUCCACAGACAGAAACACUGAUUUUCUGUAAGAAAAAACUUUGUACUCUCUACAUUGUUGUAUUUGUUCCAUAAACACUAUGCAUGUAUUAUAAACAAAACUAGUAAAAAUGCUUUCACAUA